AAUUACUCAAACAUAGCAAAGUAAUUCAUAAACAUAAACUAAAUAAAAUGCAUAAAUAGAUUAAGGUUAGAAAUACUGGAGUUCCAAUACAAAUCUCUGAAGGAAUCUUGGAUCAUCUCUCCAAAUCUACUAAAAACCCUAAGUAUUGUUUGCUGCGAAAAGGAGAAAAUAAGAAAGCGUGUGUUGCAAAUAACAAUGGCACAGCACAUAAUUACUAGGUUAAAAGCGACAGCGGUAAUUCUGUAGUUGUACUGUGACUUAGAUUUAAAUCGGGUGAAACCACAGCCGGGUCUUGCGCGCUUCGCUGUCGAUCGACGGCACAUGAUGUGCGUCGAUCGAUGUUUAUCUCUGAAUGUCGAACUUCGGACUGGUUCAAUGGUAAGCUACGGGUUCUU
rnacentral:lncRNA from 1 species